ensembl:lncRNA
GCAGUUGAAUGUUCCACAAAAUACAGUGGUACUAAAAUUCCGAUCUACUUUUUAUUCUGUUUCCAAGAAGACAGUGACCUUUGGGAUGUUUGAAUUCAGACAGGUUAGAGAUGUACCUUUAGUGAAGCUCUAAUGGAGCUUGUUUGUUCCCUUGAAUAUCGGUAUACAUAUUAUGUUUUUUAAAGUUCAAAUUUCAGUGUCAGGUCUUCCAAACUUGCCUAAAAUUUGUCAAACUCUGAUUUUAUGUAUGUCAGUGGAAUGUGGUCAAAGUUUGUAUGUGGUCUUAGUUUAAGUGCUUCCUGUUGCCAUGAAAACUAAGACUGUAUACAAGGUGUGCAGUAUGCACUUCUGGGAGAAAUGCGUGUUUGAUAUACAUGGAAAUGUGAUAACUAUUUAGGAAAAAAAAAUCCUAUAUAGUAUGCAUAGAUUGAUAAUAAUUUUUUUUAUAUUUAUUUUUAAUGGAAAUACAUUGUUUUCAUAAAAUAAUUAAGUUUGCAUUUUGUUUUCUAGUGUCUUCCUUACAAGAUUAGAGUUAAGGGCACCUUACUUCCUUCACUGUGAAGAUUUGAAGAAGUUAUUCAGCUGUGAUGCUGCUCAGUUCUCAUAUUCAAAAUGAAGGGAAUAACAUCAGAAAACACGAGUCACUACAGACUUGUGAAAAUAAAAGUAAAAGGCGCAAACCCCACAACAUCAUAGAAAGGCCAGGUUGUUCUCAGAUACCCCAGGAAUGCAUCAGCCAGCAGUUCUCAUCAUGGAGCCAUGGUUUUUCCUCCAUCCCACUUCCUUUCCUUUCAACGUUGCUUCAGACACUGUUCACAUAUCUUGGAUUUGCUGCAGUCAAAGUGGAAUAAGGAAACAAGGUUGACAAUGAGGAGAAGACAUCUAAAUCCAUCUGAAAAGUUUAUCAGCAGUAGUGUUAAUUACCCCAAACAUGGUGGCCUAAUCCUCAGCAGGUAAAAAGAGUGAUCUUUCCUUGUUGCCAUUCUGUGAAUUGUGCCCAGGCAAUGCACUGCUGGAUGCAGGCCAUGCCACAAAAUGACACAUGUAUGCUAUAGAGAAUCAAGGACCAAUAUAUGAGACCAUAGCCCAGACACAAUUAUAUAGCACAUAAUCUCUGUUGCUUCCUAGAUAGACUCUGUUGUAUAUAAACUGCUGUUUUUCCAGUAACUUGAAAUUUCCUGAAUUUUUGAAGGUCUAUAUUUCACCAAAGAGAUUAAACAAGGUCGAGUGGGUCACUUCUUUCCUAUUCUCUAGCUGCAGAUAGAAAAGCUUAAGUCCUGAGAUUCUCAGCCAAGCUCUAGGUACUUUAACUAUGGUCUUUUCUGGUGCUCUAAUGAAGUUACUCAGCUGAGAACAGGAAUGACUGCCUUUCCCUAAGCUUUUUUCAUUAAGUUAAUUACAAGCUGGUGCAGUUCCCUUCUGGUUUUUCAGUCCCUCUGUGGUUUAGGGUAGUUGGUAUUGCCCAAUCUGAAAGGAAGAAAAUACUUUGUCACCUGACAGGUCUUGCCUCACUGCUUCCUGUUGAGUAUCAUGGAUCCUUGGCUCCCAAACCUGUGUGACAUAGCUGAGCUGUAGCGGGAAUAACUAUGAACUCAUGCCCCUCUUUCAUCUUUCUUUUUGCGUUCUUCCCUCUGCUCAUGAAAAUACUGAUUUUUCAAUAAACAGAACUCUUAUUUGGCUCUGUUCA